rnacentral:rRNA from 1 species
AUUGAACGCUGGCGGCAGGCCUAACACAUGCAAGUCGAACGAGUGGCGGACGGGUGAGUAAUGUCUGGGAAACUGCCUGAUGGAGGGGGAUAACUACUGGAAACGGUAGCUAAUACCGCAUACCAUCGGAUGUACCCAGAUGGGAUUAGCUAGUAGGUGGAGUAACGGCUCACCUAGGCGACGAUCCCUAGCUGGUCGGAGAGGAUGAUCAGACACACUGGAAAUGAGACACGGUCCAGACUCCUACGGGAGGCAGCAGUGGGGAAUAUUGCGCAAGGGGCGAAAGCCUGAUGCAGCCAUGCCGGGUGUAUGAAGAAGGCCUUCGGGUUGUAAAGUACUUUCAGCGGGGAGGCGUUACCGACAGAAGAAGCACCGGCUAACUCCGUGCCAGCAGCCGCGGUAAUUC